UCUGUGGGGUGCAUUGAAUGGCGGCGUGGUGGUAUCUAUCGACAUGUGUGUGAGCGACUGGAGUAACUAUGACUCUCUUAAGGUAGCCAAAUGCCUCGUCUUCCAAUUAGAGACGCGCAUGAAUGG
rnacentral:ncRNA from 1 species